AAGUGUCAAGAACAUCAUUUAGGCAACACUGUAGAGAUGAACUGGUGUCCAGGCUUAGUGACUGUGGUUCUCUUAGUGCUUGGACAAACCCGUGGAGACUCAGUGACCCAGACGGAAGGCCAAGUGACCCUGUCCAAAGGGGAUCCCCUGACUCUGAACUGCUCCUAUGAAUACACAGGUUACCCCACUCUCUUCUGGUAUGUUCAGUCUCCUGGAGAAGGUCCAGUGCUCCUCCUGAAAGCCACCAAAGCCGAUGUUAAGGAAAGCAACAAAGGUUUUGAAGCCACACACCACAAACAACAAAAUUCUUUUCACUUGGAGAAAACCUCAGUGGAGGAGUCUGAUUCGGCAGUGUACUACUGUGCUGUGAGUGACACAGUGACAGAAACUGCAGGGGGAGCUGAGCACAAACUCUGGCUGCUGAGUGUCUAUGACUGUUUGAUCCCCUCUGGUGCAUUCUAUUAUUUAACAUCAAAUACACAGGACAUCAAUACAGAUUUCCAAUCUUUAAGCACAUUAAUAGAGUUGUUAGACAAAUUAGACUUCCAUACAUACAGGAAUAUUGAAGGCAAAGGAAUGUUUAUGUUUAGUAAAUAA